rnacentral:rRNA from 1 species
AGUGAACGCUGGCGGCGUGCUUAACACAUGCAAGUCGAACGGUAACAGGAAGAGCUUGCUCUUUGCUGACGAGUGGCGCACGGGUGAGUAAUAUAUAGGUAAUGUGCCCCAAAGACCGGGAUAGCCACUGGAAACGGUGAUUAAUACUGGAUAUGCCUCUAAAUCAUGAGAUUGCGAGGGAAACGUUUUUUCGCUUUGGGAUCGGCCUAUAUCCUAUCAGCUUGUUGGUGAGGUAAGAGCUCACCAAGGCGAUGACGGGUAGCGGGUUUGAGAGGAUGAUCCGCCACACUGGUACUGAGACACGGACCAGACUCCUACGGGAGGCAGCAGUGAGGAAUAUUGCACAAUGGGGGAAACCCUGAUGCAGCAACGCCGCGUGGAGGAUGACGCAUUUCGGUGUGUAAACUCCUUUUAUAUGUCAAGAAAAUGACGGUAGCAUAUGAAUAAGCGCCGGCUAACUCCGUGCCAGCAGCCGCGGUAAUACGGAGGGCGCAAGCGUUACUCGGAAUCACUGGGCGUAAAGGACGCGUAGGCGGGUUGGUAAGUCAGGUGUGAAAUCCUACAGCUUAACUGUAGAACUGCACUUGAAACUACUAACCUAGAGUAUGGGAGGGGCAGAUGGAAUUAGUGGUGUAGGGGUAAAAUCCGUAGAUAUCACUAGGAAUACCGAAAGCGAAGGCGAUCUGCUGGAACAUAACUGACGCUGAGGCGUGAAAGCGUGGGGAGCAAACAGGAUUAGAUACCCUGGUAGUCCACGCCCUAAACGAUGAACACUAGUCGUCGGGGUACUUGUUACUUCGGUGAUGCACUUAACAGAUUAAGUGUUCCGCCUGGGGAGUACGGUCGCAAGAUUAAAACUCAAAGGAAUAGACGG